rnacentral:piRNA from 1 species
UGNGUCCUCUUUCAGGCCUAGUAUUGGCUCCU